UCUGGGUCCAACCUCCCACCCGUGUUUAUUUUACCUUGUUGCUUCGGCGGGCCCGCCUUAACUGGCCGCCGGGGGGCUUACGCCCCCGGGCCCGCGCCCGCCGAAGACACCCUCGAACUCUGUCUGAAGAUUGAAGUCUGAGUGAAAAUAUAAAUUAUUUAAAACUUUCAACAACGGAUCUCUUGGUUCCGGCAUCGAUGAAGAACGCAGCGAAAUGCGAUACGUAAUGUGAAUUGCAAAUUCAGUGAAUCAUCGAGUCUUUGAACGCACAUUGCGCCCCCUGGUAUUCCGGGGGGCAUGCCUGUCCGAGCGUCAUUGCUGCCCUCAAGCCCGGCUUGUGUGUUGGGCCCCGUCCCCCGAUCUCCGGGGGACGGGCCCGAAAGGCAGCGGCGGCACCGCGUCCGGUCCUCGAGCGUAUGGGGCUUUGUCACCCGCUCUGUAGGCCCGGCCGGCGCUUGCCGAUCAACCCAAAUUUUUAUCCAGGUUGACCUCGGAUCAGGUAGGGAUACCCGCUGAACUUAAGCAUAUCAAUAAGCAAGAGGAAU
rnacentral:rRNA from 1 species